AGAGUUUGAUCCUGGCUCAGAACGAACGCUGGCGGCAGGCCUAACACAUGCAAGUCGAGCGCUCUCUUCGGAGGGAGCGGCGAACGGGUGAGUAACGCGUGGGAACGUACCUUUUGGUUCGGGACAACCCUGGGAAACUGGGGCUAAUACCGGAUACGCUCUACGGAGGAAAGAUUUAUCGCCGAGAGAUCGGCCCGCGUUGGAUUAGCUUGUUGGUGAGGUAAUGGCUCACCAAGGCUACGAUCUAUAGCUGGUCUGAGAGGAUGAUCAGCCACACUGGGACUGAGACACGGCCCAGACUCCUACGGGAGGCAGCAGUGGGGAAUCUUGGACAAUGGGGGCAACCCUGAUCCAGCCAUGCCGCGUGAGUGAGGAAGGCCUUAGGGUUGUAAAGCUCUUUCAGCAGGGACGAUAAUGACGUACCUGCAGAAGAAGCCCCGCUAACU
rnacentral:rRNA from 1 species